CGUGCACCAGUGGGGUCCCUUGGCCUGGCCUGUGCCCUCUUGCAAUCCAGGACCCCUUGAAGGAUGUCAGAGAGCUGGUCUUGGCCUUAUCCCACAGGCCAGGCCGAGGGACCCCACUGGUGCAUG
rnacentral:pre_miRNA from 1 species